UGCUCCAUGGCUGAGUUGGUUACAGCGUCCGACUGUUACAUCGUCAACCACCUGUGGAGGUGUCAUCGGAAGGUCGAGAGUUCGAGCCUCUCUGGAGCAG